AUUGAACGCUGGCGGCAUGCCUUACACAUGCAAGUCGAACGGCAGCACGGGUGCUUGCACCUGGUGGCGAGUGGCGAACGGGUGAGUAAUGUAUCGGAACGUACCUUUCAGUGGGGGAUAACUAUCCGAAAGGAUAGCUAAUACCGCAUAUUCUGUGAGCAGGAAAGCAGGGGAUCGCAAGACCUUGCGCUGAUUGAGCGGCCGAUAUCAGAUUAGCUAGUUGGUGGGGUAAAGGCCUACCAAGGCUACGAUCUGUAGCGGGUCUGAGAGGAUGAUCCGCCACACUGGAACUGAGACACGGUCCAGACUCCUACGGGAGGCAGCAGUGGGGAAUUUUGGACAAUGGGGGCAACCCUGAUCCAGCCAUGCCGCGUGAGUGAAGAAGGCCUUCGGGUUGUAAAGCUCUUUCAGCCGGGAAGAAAUCGCAUAGGCUAAUAUCCUGUGCGGAUGACGGUACCGGAAUAAGAAGCACCGGCUAACUACGUGCCAGCAGCCGCGGUAAUACGUAGGGUGCGAGCGUUAAUCGGAAUUACUGGGCGUAAAGCGUGCGCAGGCGGUUUUUUAAGAUAGGCGUGAAAUCCCCGGGCUUAACCUGGGAACUGCGCUUAUGACUGGAAGACUAGAGUACGGCAGAGGGGGGUGGAAUUCCACGUGUAGCAGUGAAAUGCGUAGAGAUGUGGAGGAACACCGAUGGCGAAGGCAGCCCCCUGGGCCGAUACUGACGCUCAUGCACGAAAGCGUGGGGAGCAAACAGGAUUAGAUACCCUGGUAGUCCACGCCCUAAACGAUGUCAACUAGGUGUUGGGUGGGUAAAACCAUUUAGUACCGUAGCUAACGCGUGAAGUUGACCGCCUGGGGAGUACGGCCGCAAGGUUAAAACUCAAAGGAAUUGACGGGGACCCGCACAAGCGGUGGAUGAUGUGGAUUAAUUCGAUGCAACGCGAAAAACCUUACCUACCCUUGACAUGUCAGGAACUUUCCAGAGAUGGAUUGGUGCCCGAAAGGGAGCCUGAACACAGGUGCUGCAUGGCUGUCGUCAGCUCGUGUCGUGAGAUGUUGGGUUAAGUCCCGCAACGAGCGCAACCCUUGUCAUUAGUUGCCAUCAUUUAGUUGGGCACUCUAAUGAGACUGCCGGUGACAAACCGGAGGAAGGUGGGGAUGACGUCAAGUCCUCAUGGCCCUUAUGGGUAGGGCUUCACACGUCAUACAAUGGUCGGUACAGAGGGUUGCCAAGCCGCGAGGUGGAGCCAAUCCCAGAAAGCCGAUCGUAGUCCGGAUCGUAGUCUGCAACUCGACUGCGUGAAGUCGGAAUCGCUAGUAAUCGCGGAUCAGAAUGCCGCGGUGAAUACGUUCCCGGGUCU
rnacentral:rRNA from 1 species